UCCACUUUAUCCAAACAGAUUGACGACUAUUCAAUAAACUGAAGUUUUUGAAAGUUAUUGUAAUGAAAUACAAGUGAAGGCAGUUGACAACUAUAAACUGAUUAUAAUGAAAGGAUGCAGUUGAAAGAUUGUAUAAUGAGAUAGAAUCGGCAUCUUUUGGUGUGAUAUUGGGUCAUGUGGCUCAAAAUGGUUUUCAAGGAGCAUGGGGGUGCAUUGAUUUGUAGAAUCAUGCCAUCCAUCUAAUGCAACUUAAAACUGUCAUCAUCGCCAAUACAAUCUUUCGCAUCCUUCAUGUAAAUUUAAACAACUGUAAUCAUAUUCCAACUACAUCAUGCAUUCCGGCAAACAAAGCAACAUAAUCAUUUUACAUACAUGCUGCCACAGGUUUAUCUUCUCUACCGACGGCAUAAACUCAUCAUAUAUGAUAAUCAGAUAUGGAUAGAAUUUUAGUAUGCAUAGCAGUAACUUAUAUAUCCUCUAAUCAUACAAAAGCUUAGAGC
rnacentral:lncRNA from 1 species